rnacentral:rRNA from 1 species
GACGAACGCUGGCGGCGUGCUUAACACAUGCAAGUCGAACGGAAAGGCCUCUUUCGGGGGGUACUCGAGUGGCGAACGGGUGUGUAACACGUGAGUAACCUGCCCUUUACUUUGUGUUAACUUCAGGAAACUGUGGCUAAUACCGGCUAGGAGCUCCUGCUGCAUGGUGGGGGUUGGAAAGUUUCGGCGGUUGGGGGUGGACUCGCGGGUUAUCUGCUUGUUGGUGGGGUAGUGGGUUACCAAGGCUUUGACGGGUAGCCGGGCUGGGGGGGUGACCGGCGAAAUUGGGAAUGAGAGACGGCCCAGACUGCUACGGGAGGGAGAAGGGGGGAAAAAUGGAAAAAGGGUGGAAGCCUGAUGCAGCAACGCCGGGGGCGGGAGGACGGGCUUCGGGUUGAAAACCGAUUUCGCUCAGGACGAAGCUUUGUGUGACGGUAGUGGGUAAAGAAGCACCGGCUAACUACGUG